rnacentral:rRNA from 1 species
GGCAAGCUUGAGUUUUGUAGAGGGGGGUAGAAUUCCCGGGGUAGCGGUGAAAUGCGUAGAGAUUUGGAGGAAUACCGGUGGGGAAGGCGGCCCCCUGGACGAAAACUGACGCUCAGGUGCGAAAGCGGGGGGAGCAAACAGGAUUAGAUACCCUGGUAGUCCACGCCGUAAACGAUGUUGACUUGGAGGGUGUGCCCUUGAGGCGUGGUUUCCGGAGCUAACGCGUUAAGUGGACCGCCUGGGGAGUACGGCCGCAAGGUUAAAACUCAAAUGAAUUGACGGGGGCCCGCACAAGCGGUGGAGCAUGUGGUUUAAUUGGAUGCAACGCGAAGACCUUUACCUGGUCUUGACAUCCACGGAAGUUUUCAGAGAUGAGAAUGUCCCUUGGGGAACCGUGAGACAGGUGCUGCAUGGCGGUGUUCAGUUCGUGUUGUGAAAUGUUGGGUUAAGUCCCGCAAGGAGCGCAACCCUUAUCCUUUGUUGCCAGCGGUCCGGCCGGGAACUCAAAGGAGACUGCCAGUGAUAAACUGGAGGAAGGUGGGGAUGACGUCAAGUCAUCAUGGCCCUUACGACCAGGGCUACACACGUGCUACAAUGGCGCAUACAAAGAGAAGCGACCUCGCGAGAGCAAGCGGACCUCAUAAAGUGCGUCGUAGUCCGGAUUGGAGUCUGCAACUCGACUCCAUGAAGUCGGAAUCGCUAGUAAUCGUGGAUCAGAAUGCCACGGUGAAUACGUUCCCGGGCCUUGUACACACCCGCCCGUCCACACCCAUUGGGAGGUUGGGUGGCC